CUGUAUUAAAAUUCCACACAGAAUAGAUGAAAAGUCAAAGGAUGGCCUCCUGGGUGAAGGUCAGUGGAUCAGGUGGAUGUUUGGCACAACCCGACCAAUGAAGCAGGAGAUUUUGAGCAGGACACUGUUGUUCACGUCGUAAGCAAGGGGAAAACUCUGAAGUUGUUUCAGCAGGACACUUUCAA